rnacentral:rRNA from 1 species
CCUACGGGAGGCAGCAGUGGGGAAUGUUGGACAAUGGGCGAAAGCCUGAUCCAGCAAUGCCGCGUGAGUGAUGAAGGCCUUAGGGUUGUAAAGCUCUUUUACCAGGGAUGAUAAUGACAGUACCUGGAGAAUAAGCUCCGGCUAACUCCGUGCCAGCAGCCGCGGUAAUACGGAGGGAGCUAGCGUUGUUCGGAAUUACUGGGCGUAAAGCGUACGUAGGCGGUUAUUCAAGUCAGAGGUGAAAGCCUGGAGCUCAACUCCAGAACUGCCUUUGAAACUAGAUAGCUAGAAUCUUGGAGAGGUGAGUGGAAUUCCGAGUGUAGAGGUGAAAUUCGUAGAUAUUCGGAAGAACACCAGUGGCGAAGGCGACUCACUGGACAAGUAUUGACGCUGAGGUACGAAAGCGUGGGGAGCAAACAGGAUUAGAUACCCUGGUAGUCCACGCCGUAAACGAUGAUAACUAGCUGUUCGGGCUCUACGAGCUUGAGUGGCGCAGCUAACGCAUUAAGUUAUCCGCCUGGGGAGUACGGUCGCAAGNUUAAAACUCAAAGGAAUUGACGG